UACGUAGGUGGCAAGCGUUGUCCGGAUUUAUUGGGUUUAAAGGGUGCGUAGGCGGUCUAUUAAGUCAGUUGUGAAAUACGGCAGCUUAACUGUCGAGGUGCAAUUGAUACUGCAGGACUUGAGUACAGACGAGGUAGGCGGAAUUGACGGUGUAGCGGUGAAAUGCUUAGAUAUCGUCAAGAACACCGAUAGCGAAGGCAGCUUACUAGACUGUAACUGACGCUGAUGCACGAAAGUGUGGGGAUCAAACAGG
rnacentral:rRNA from 1 species